rnacentral:rRNA from 1 species
UUGACCUCGGAUCAGGUAGGGAUACCCGCUGAACUUAAGCAUAUCAAUAAGCGGAGGAAAAGAAACCAACAGGGAUUGCCCCAGUAACGGCGAGUGAAGCGGCAAGAGCUCAAAUUUGAAAGCUGGCUCCUUCGGGGCCCGCAUUGUAAUUUGCAGAGGAUGCUUCGGGAGCGGCCCCCAUCUAAGUGCCCUGGAACGGGCCGUCAUAGAGGGUGAGAAUCCCGUAUGGGAUGGGGUGUCCGCGCCCGUGUGAAGCUCCUUCGACGAGUCGAGUUGUUUGGGAAUGCAGCUCUAAAUGGGUGGUAAAUUUCAUCUAAAGCUAAAUAUUGGCCGGAGACCGAUAGCGCACAAGUAGAGUGAUCGAAAGAUGAAAAGCACUUUGAAAAGAGAGUUAAAAAGCACGUGAAAUUGUUGAAAGGGAAGCGUUUGCGACCAGACUCGCCCGUGGGGUUCAGCCGGCACUCGUGCCGGUGUACUUCCCCGCGGGCGGGCCAGCGUCGGUUUGGGCGGCCGGUCAAAGGCCCUCGGAAUGUAACGCCUCUCGGGGCGUCUUAUAGCCGAGGGUGCCAUGCGGCCUGCCCGGACCGAGGAACGCGCUUCGGCUCGGACGCUGGCAUAAUGGUCGUAAACGACC